rnacentral:tRNA from 1 species
UUCUCAGUGGCGCAAUCAUUAGAGCAUUUGGCUGUUGACCAAAGGUUGGUGGUUUGAGCCCACCCAAGGAUGAGAAG